rnacentral:rRNA from 1 species
GAUGAACGCUGGCGGCGUGCCUAAUACAUGCAAGUCGAGCGAACAGACGAGGAGCUUGCUCCUCUGACGUUAGCGGCGGACGGGUGAGUAACACGUGGAUAACCUACCUAUAAGACUGGGAUAACUUCGGGAAACCGGAGCUAAUACCGGAUAAUAUAUUGAACCGCAUGGUUCAAUAGUGAAAGUCGGUUUUGCUGUCACUUAUAGAUGGAUCCGCGCCGCAUUAGCUAGUUGGUAAGGUAACGGCUUACCAAGGCAACGAUGCGUAGCCGACCUGAGAGGGUGGUCGGCCACACUGGAGCUGAGACACGGUCCAGACUCCUACGGGAGGCAGCAGUAGCGAAUCUUCCGCAAUGGGCGAAAGCUUGACGGAGCAACGCCGCGUGAGUGAUGAAGGCCUUCGGUUCGUAAAGCUCUGUUAUUAGGGAAGAACAAAUGUGUAAGUAACUAUGCACGUCUUGACGGUACCUAAUCAGAAAGCCACGGCUAACUACGU